AGUGAACGCUGGCGGUAGGCCUAACACAUGCAAGUCGAACGGCAGCACAGUAAGAGCUUGCUCUUACGGGUGGCGAGUGGCGGACGGGUGAGGAAUACAUCGGAAUCUACUUUUUCGUGGGGGAUAACGUAGGGAAACUUACGCUAAUACCGCAUACGACCUACGGGUGGAAGCAGGGGAUCUUCGGACCUUGCGCGAUUGAAUGAGCCGAUGUCGGAUUAGCUAGUUGGCGGGGUAAGGGCCCACCAAGGCGACGAUCCGUAGCUGGUCUGAGAGGAUGAUCAGCCACACUGGGACUGGGACACGGUCCAGACUCCUACGGGAGGCAGCAGUGGGGAAUAUUGGACAAUGGGCGCAAGCCUGAUCCAGCCAUACCGCGUGGGUGAAGAAGGCCUUCGGGUUGUAAAGCCCUUUUGUUGGGAAAGAAAAGCAGCAGGUUAAUACCCCGCUGUUCUGACGGUACCCAAAGAAUAAGCACCGGCUAACUUCGUG
rnacentral:rRNA from 1 species